rnacentral:rRNA from 1 species
AGGGAAUCUUCGGCAAUGGACGAAAGUCUGACCGAGCAACGCCGCGUGAGUGAAGAAGGUUUUCGGAUCGUAAAACUCUGUUGUUAGAGAAGAACGUUGCAUAGAGUGGAAAAUUAUGCAAGUGACGGUAUCUAACCAGAAAGGGACGGCUAACUACGUGCCAGCAGCCGCGGUAAUACGUAGGUCCCGAGCGUUGUCCGGAUUUAUUGGGCGUAAAGCGAGCGCAGGUGGUUUAAUAAGUCUGAUGUAAAAGGCAGUGGCUCAACCAUUGUGUGCAUUGGAAACUGUUAGACUUGAGUGCAGUAGAGGAGAGUGGAAUUCCAUGUGUAGCGGUGAAAUGCGUAGAUAUAUGGAGGAACACCGGUGGCGAAAGCGGCUCUCUGGACUGUCACUGACACUGAGGCUCGAAAGCGUGGGUAGCAAACAGGAUUAGAUACCCUGGUAGUCCACGCCGUAAACGAUGAGUGCUA